rnacentral:lncRNA from 1 species
GAUCGAGCAGACACUGGGCAGCAGUUUAUUGUUUUAGGAACAGGAAUAAUGCUGCUAUGAACAUUCAUGUACAAGUCUCCGGGUCGGCAUAUGCUUUCAUUUCUCUUUGGUGAAUGUCUAGGAAUAGCAUUGCUGGCACACAUGUGAGAAGACUGCUGUCUGCAAACCAGGAAGAGAGCCCACGCCAACAAUGCUGACACCCUGAUCUUGACCUUCCAGCCUCUAGAAUGAGUUGGGCCAGCUUUCUGCCCAUGCUCACUAGCUGUCUACAAAGGCUCCCAUUCACCACUCUUGGGGGACAUACAGGGAACCAGCCACAGGAUGGGGUUUUUUUCUCCGAUGAUAUGCUGGAACUUCUCCACUGGACGCCUGGACUGCCACAAAGGCACUCUCCUCCAUGCCCCUCAAUUCACUGUGCCAUCUCCCAUCGUGCAUAAAUAAGCCUCUUUCUGGGAGUCACUCUCCACGGAACCUCCGCCAGCCCUGCC